rnacentral:rRNA from 1 species
AUUGAACGCUGGCGGCAGGCUUAACACAUGCAAGUCGAACGAGUGGCGGACGGGUGAGUAAUGCUUGGGAAUCUAGCUUAUGGCGGGGGAUAACUCCGGGAAACUGUAGCUAAUACCGCGUACCAUAGGAUGAGCCCAAGUGGGCUUAGGUAGUUGGUGAGGUAAAGGCUCACCAAGCCGCCGAUCUCUAGCUGGUCUGAGAGGAUGCCCAGCCAAACGGGGACUGAGAAACGGCCCAGACUCCUACGGGAGGCAGCAGUGGGGAAUAUUGCGCAAUGGGGGCAACCUGACGCAGCCAUGCCGCGUGAAUGAAGAAGGCCCUAGGGUUGUAAAGUACUUUCAGUCGGGAGGCGUUACCCGCAGAAGAAGCACCGGCUAACUCCGUACCAGCAGCCGCGGUAUUC